CAAGCUGCGGCAGAUGGAGGUUCUGAAGAGGGACUUCAGCAGCCUGAUCGAGACGGUUCGCAGCACGUCACCCGCGACGAGGAUCGUCGUGUCAGGACCGCUUCCCACGUAUCGACGUGGGCACGAAAGGCUUUUCCGUGCUGAUGGCCUGCACACCAGCAGAGUCGGAGCGGAACUGCUGUCGGACAACAUCUCCAGGACACUACGCUCCAUUUGACUAGAAUUCACAAGCUCCAGUGUGGAUCCAGAACACUUAAGAAGAGAUGAUGCCAAUCCCACAGAGGACUUCAGAUGAUGCCAACCCUGAAAACAUACAGCACUACCGAAUUCUGUUACUAAUUUAUAGUGUUCUUUGUCUGUUUGAUUACGUCAUUAAUUGAUCUUUACCACACAUCUCUGCCAUAUGUACAUCAAGCUACUACUACAUAUAUUGUAAAAAUGUCAAUUUGGUGUAAAGCUGCUUUGCAACGAUAUGUAUCGUGAAAAGCGCUAUACAAAUAAAUUUGAAUUGAAUUGAA